rnacentral:rRNA from 1 species
AGUAGGGAAUCUUCCGCAAUGGGCGAAAGCCUGACGGAGCAACGCCGCGUGAGUGAUGAAGGUCUUCGGAUCGUAAAACUCUGUUAUUAGGGAAGAACAAACGUGUAAGUAACUGUGCACGUCUUGACGGUACCUAAUCAGAAAGCCACGGCUAACUACGUGCCAGCAGCCGCGGUAAUACGUAGGUGGCAAGCGUUAUCCGGAAUUAUUGGGCGUAAAGCGCGCGUAGGCGGUUUUUUAAGUCUGAUGUGAAAGCCCACGGCUCAACCGUGGAGGGUCAUUGGAAACUGGAAAACUUGAGUGCAGAAGAGGAAAGUGGAAUUCCAUGUGUAGCGGUGAAAUGCGCAGAGAUAUGGAGGAACACCAGUGGCGAAGGCGACUUUCUGGUCUGUAACUGACGCUGAUGUGCGAAAGCGUGGGGAUCAAA